CGGGACGGGUGAGUAAUGCUUGGGAAUCUAGCUUAUGGAGGGGGAUAACUACGGGAAACUGUAGCUAAUACCGCGUAGUAUCGAGAGGUGAAAGUGUGGGACCUUCGGGCCACAUGCCAUAGGAUGAGCCCAAGUGGGAUUAGGUAGUUGGUGAGGUAAAGGCUCACCAAGCCGACGAUCUCUAGCUGGUCUGAGAGGAUGACCAGCCACACUGGGACUGAGACACGGCCCAA
rnacentral:rRNA from 1 species